rnacentral:snRNA from 1 species
CGCUAUGUUGGACUUAGAA